CGAGUCUGCCUUGAAGAUCGGAGUGCUUGCACUCUGUGAAACAAGAUACAGGCUAGCGGCGGACGGGUGAGUAACACGUGGGUAACCUGCCCAAGAGAUCGGGAUAACACCUGGAAACAGAUGCUAAUACCGGAUAACAACAGAUGAUGCCUAUCAACUGUUUAAAGGAUGGUUCUGCUAUCACUCUUGGAUGGACCUGCGGUGCAUUAGCUAGUUGGUAGGGUAACGGCCUACCAAGGCGAUGAUGCAUAGCCGAGUUGAGAGACUGAUCGGCCACAUUGGGACUGAGACACGGCCCAAACUCCUACGGGAGGCAGCAGUAGGGAAUCUUCCACAAUGGACGCAAGUCUGAUGGAGCAACGCCGCGUGAGUGAAGAAGGGUUUCGGCUCGUAAAGCUCUGUUGUUGGUGAA
rnacentral:rRNA from 1 species